rnacentral:rRNA from 1 species
ACAUGCCUACAACAUAGAAUUAAUGCAAUGGAUCCCAUUAGAACUCCACAGUUAGGCAUGCUCAGGCUAGAGUAGUAUUGGGAUGGGUGACCGCCUAGGAAGUCCUAGUGUUUUACAUGCC